UAAUUGCAAUCAAGGACAAAAUAAAAAGGCUCUCACAGAAGAGUAUUAGAAUAUUUAUUAGUAAAAUCCUAUUUUCAAUCAAUCAGGACCAGUUCUCCCUCAGAGAAAAACUGAACUAGUACUGUGUGCCAUGCAUUCUUGUAUCAUUCUAUUCCAUUAUUAUGCACACUGCCAAACAGGUAAUCGAGUAGUAAAUAUUUCAGAACAUUUGCACUUAAUACGUAGGGAAGUAUAAUAUGAAAACAACCACUCUAUCAGAGCCAGUGUUUCCAGCAAAGCAAUGAUUUCUGUUACAGAACAAUCCUUUUAUCAACAAAAAACCCUGUGGUAUUUCCAGUGACCUUAAGACAACCAAAAUAAUGUUACAACUUCAAUUAAUUGGUAAACUAUUCUAGAACUUUUUAAUGCAUACAACUGACAUAAACAUGAUGAAAGAUGGAUGAAAAAUACACAAAAAGUACUAGUUGAUAUAUUACAAUGACUCGAGGCAAUGCUUCCUUUGUAAAUCAUGUAUGUGACGGAAUACAGCUACACCUCUCUUCACAUCGUUAUCAUUUGAAGUUUCUUUCUCAAGUGUACGCAUAUGGAAGAAACAGCUCCACUCGACAUAGGAAAAGGCAACACAUUCAGCUCAAGUGCUGCGAAAAUUUGACAGAAAUUUUCUCCUAAAACAACAGGAGCACACACUGAUAAUGCAUUACUUGUGGAAAUGGUAUGUGCAUGAGCGUGCAGGGGCUUUUACACAGCUGUCAACCCACGGUAAUCACCGUCGCUAAGUGUGCCUGCAACACGAAGACAAAUAUUUGACCUAUUUUCUUAGGAGAAUUUAGCUGUCAUCAUUCUUAGCACCACGCUCCCGUGAACCAGCCACUGCCAAAGGACUAAGGCAACGCGGGCAUAGAAUUCUUCGCCGAGAGUGAGAGCACUUCCUUCCACGGAGCGAUGUUUGUUCCAGCGGUAAAGCGAUCGGCCCCUCGAACCCACAUCCCCCUGCCGGUUCCGGGCUGCGCCCGCUCGCCCCGGUCCUGGCAACCCCCCGCGCCCGUCCGUGCCGGGGACUCACGUUUGUAGCUGGCGGCCCAGGGCUGGUAGCCGUAGUAGCCGGUGAUGCGGAGGAUGCGCUCCUCGAUGGAGGUGAGCCCCACGGACGCGCUGGUGAGGUCUUCCACGGAGCGGGACCACUUCAAGUCCUCUUUAAUGGCCUCGUCCACCACCAGAUUGCCAGAAGAUUCUCUGGGAUGGAAGUUUACAUUUAUCAAAAUACUCAUUUCAUGAGAAAGGUUUGCUGAGGGGCGAGCCCAACAACCAGGGAAUGAGGAAGGAGCAGAAAGAUAUAGGAAAGAGAAUUAAGGACUUGAGAAAGAACAAGAUAGAAAACUUUUAUUGGAUUUGUGCUCAGGGAAGGAAGUUGCUUGAGCAAACUAGAGCACAAUAUUUUUGUUAUGUUUAAAGUUGCUUAUCUGGAAGUUGUGCUAGCUCCAAGAAAAACCUAAUAAUUCUCACCCUUCAGAUAAACUUAUGGGUUGUUUUCUAGUUUUGAAGGUGUUUUUAAAGUUGGGUUUUUUCAGUGCAAAAAGAUGCGUCACUAGCCUUGGACUGCACAGAUUUCUCAGCAGGAGAGAUUUCUGAAGAGAAAGAAACACUUGGAAAAUGAUUUGACAGGCAAUUUUUACUGUAUAAAAUUAAUGGUAGCUGUUUGAAGCUGCACAUGUGUCUGAAACAUUAAAAAACCUACAGCUGAAUUUUUGAUCUGGAAGCAUAAAAGAUCAAAAAAGCAUUAUAAUUUUGCCAAAUGGUUCCAAAGUGUGGGGCAAAGCUGCUUACUUCUAUGUAUGCAUUUUAAGUCCUAUUUGUAAGUUAACCAUACUUAUUUUUCCAGACUUGGAAUUAAUUUUGGAAGCUACUGUAACUAUUCUGUUGCACCAACUCAGACCUUACU